rnacentral:misc_RNA from 1 species
UGCCAUUGUUCAGAAGGAGAAUACUAGGAUCCACAAGGCAAGCUUAUGUAAUUGGUAAAAGCAAUUGUAUUGUUUUGGGUUAACAAAUAAGAUCUCAAGAAUUGGAUGCAGAUUUAACAUCUUCUAAAGUGGAGUGAAAUCUUUGAUCAGAUUUUUAACUGCAUGAAAUCUGUGAGAUUUAACAUCUUGGAAGUGUCAUACUCAUUUUUGUUUGAAGUUCGUAUAGUUAUUUUAUAUUGACAAAGGUUCUCAAAUUAAAUAUUAUAAAAGGAAAAUAAAUAUUGUAUUUUCCUUGGAAAUUGCAGUUUGAAGGGGAAAAGGUAUGAAUUCACUAAAAUAGGUGAAUGUAAUUAUCUCAUGUUAAAGUUUCUAAUAAUAUUUGUGCAUUGUACAGGCAUCAAAAGCUUAACUACAUG